UAAGCCUUAUGAAAUUUUCGAGUUGAAAAUUUUUUUCUGAUUUUUUAUUCUUUUUCUUAUUUAAAGCAUUAUUUGAGUGAAAAGAAACUUAUUGCAACAAAUUCGCAUUAAAAUAUAUCACAUUUAAAAAUUUUGCUACAUUGCUCAAAACUGAGGAAAAUUUUACAUUUUCUCAAACAGGGUAUGGAACUUGGUUCCUCGAAUAACUUCUGGCACAGACAUCGGAGGGCAUGGCCGUCCAAGAAGAAAAUGUAGCCAUUGGUGUCAUCUAUUGACCACAAGUUAAAGAUUGGCGAUCCGUUGGAUACCGACCGAGUUAUAGCCAAAACUUGGCGCAAAAAUGAGGAAAAUUUUACAUUUUCUCAAACAGGGUAAGGAACUUGGUUACUCAAAUAACUUCUGGCACAGACAUCGGAGGGCAUGGCCGUCCAAGAAGAAAAUGUAGCCAUUGGUGCCAUCUAUCGACCACAGGUUAAAGAUUGGCGAUCCGUUGGAUACCGACCGAGUUAUAGCCAAAACUUGGCGCAAAAAUGAGGAAAAUUUUACAUUUUCUCAAACAGGGUAAGGAACUUGGUUACUCAAAUAACUUCUGGCACAGACAUCGGAGGGCAUGGCCGUCCAAGAAGAAAAUGUAGCCAUUGGUGCCAUCUAUCGACCACAGGUUAAAGAUUGGCGAUCCGUUGGAUACCGACCGAGUUAUAGCCAAAACUUGGCGCAAAAAUGAGGAAAAUUUUACAUUUUCUCAAACAGGGUAAGGAACUUGGUUACUCAAAUAACUUCUGGCACAGACAUCGGAGGGCAUGGCCGUCCAAGAAGAAAAUGUAGCCAUUGGUGCCAUCUAUCGAUCACAGGAUAAAGAUUGGUGAUCCGUAGGAUACCGACCGAGUUAUAGGCAAAAUUUGCUACAAAAAUGAGCCUUAUGAUAUUUUGAAAUUUUUAUAUUUUUUUUAUUUUUUAUAAAUUUU